GCGCGGCGGCUGGACGGCUGGGCCGUUGUCACCAUGCCGGUCGUCCGGAAGAUUUUCCGUCGCCGCCGGGGCGACUCGGAGUCAGAGGAAGAUGAGCAGGACUCAGAGGAGGUUCGAUUAAAACUGGAAGAGACCAGAGAGGUACAGAACUUGAGGAAGAGGCCCAACGGGAAAACAUCCGUGUUUCCUCAGCAAAGAAGACCGAGGAGAUGCUUUCCAACCAGAUGCUGAGUGGCAUUCCUGAGGUGGACCUGGGCAUCGAUGCUAAAAUAAAAAAUAUCAUUUCCACGGAGGAUGCCAAGGCCCGUCUGCUGGCAGAGCAGCAGAACAAGAAGAAAGACAGCGAGACCUCCUUCGUGCCUACCAACAUGGCUGUGAAUUACGUACAGCACAACAGAUUUUAUCAUGAGGAGCUCAACGCGCCCAUACGGAGAAACAAAGAAGAGCCCAAGGCCCGGCCCUUGAGAGUAGGCGACACAGAGAAGCCAGAGCCUGAGCGGUCCCCUCCUAACCGCAAGCGUCCUGCUAACGAGAAGGCAACUGAUGACUAUCAUUAUGAGAAGUUCAAGAAAAUGAAUAGGCGGUACUGAGCUGUGCAGAGUGGGAUGUAAAUAUCGCCUUCCUUUCCCUAUAUCCCUCCCAUGAAAACUGGCUUCCUGGCCGGGCGUGGUGGCUCACGCCUGUAAUCCCAGCACUUUGGGAGGCCGAGGUGGGCGGAUCACCUGAGGUCGGAAGUUUGAGACCAGCCUGACCAACAUGGAGAAACCCUGUCUCUACUGAAAA
rnacentral:sRNA from 1 species